UGACUCAUCACUGGACCCAGCACACAGGUGAUGUAAUUCUUCUGCCUUGUUUUUGUACCCAGGAGCCAUUGUAAUCCAUCUCUGGGCCCAUCAUUUAAAUGAUGUGACUAUCCUUUUCUUCCUGAGCCCUAUUCACAGGGAAAAUAGUGACACAUCUGUGGGCUUCUCACCGAAAUGAUGUGACUUUCCUUCCUGGGCUCACCUCUCAAGGGAAUUUUGACAUAUUACUGGACCAAGCACCUAGGUGAUGUGGCUCUGACAAACGAGAAAUUGUGAUGUACCACUGUUCCACACCUAAGAGAUCUGACUCUCUUUUCAUGAGCCCUGCAUUUAUUGUGUAUUGUGACAUAUGGCUUGGUCCAACGCCUAGGUGAUGUGACUCUCUACUUCUUCCUCGGCCAUGCCAAAGAAGAGGAUUGUGACAUAUCACUGGAUCCAGCACUUAGGUGAUGUAAAUCUUUUCUUUUGCUGAGCCAUGCAUAUUUUUGGUAUUGUGACAUGUAGCUGGACCGAACACCUACAGGACUGGAUCAGAGGCUACUUAAUAAGCCCUGCCCAUAGGCGGCCUUGUGACAUAUGUCUGCAUCUAUCACCAAAGUGAUGUGACUCUUUUUCUGCCUGCAUCCUGCACAUAGAGAAGAUUGUGACAUAUCGCUGGGCCCAGUAACCAGGUGAUGUGUCUUUUCUGGCAGGUCUUUUCCCACAGGGAGCAUUGUAAAAUAUCACUGGGCUCGGCCACCAGGUUAUGUGACCCUUCUGCCUGUGCCCUGCUUCCUGGAAAUGUGACAUUCCUCAUACAGCACCCAGGUGAUGUGACUCUUCUGCUCAUUUUCUACUUAUAGUUGGGAUUGUGACAAAUAUCCUGGCCCAACUCAUAGGUGCUAUGAUGAUUCCCGUACCUGGAAUCAGCCAAUAGGGAGAUAGUGUCUCUUGUAUUGUAGCCUAGGGAAACAAGUAAGAUCCUGGGCCUCCUCUUUGUAUGAAUGUCAUAAAGAGUUAUCAAUCUGACUGGGCAGUGUGGCUCAUGCCUGUAAUCCCAGCACUUUGGGAGGCCAAGGUGGGUGAAUCACGAGGUCAGGAGUUGGAGAGCAGCCUGGCCAACAUAGUGAAACUCUGUCUCUACUAAAAAUACAAAAAUUAGCCGGGUGUGGUGACAUGUGCCUGUAAUCCCAGCUACUCAAGAGGCUGAGGUGGGAGAAUCACUUGAACCCGGGAGGCAGAGGUUGCAGUGAGCUGAGACCAUGCCAUUGCACUCCAGCUUGGGUGACAGAGUGAGAUGAGGCUCCCUCUCAAAAAAAAAAAAAAAAAAGAGAAGAAAGAAAGAAUUACCAAUCUUUGGUGUGUUUCAUAAACCAUUUGGGUGGCACAAAGAAUGUCUUCAGAGGGCUUAGCGCACAGGUGAGAUUGUUUCUAAAAUGCAGAAACUGCCAACUGUUAGGACUGUCACCCUUACACAUGGCAAAAGCCAGCUAGUGAGCUCCUGAAUCUCACAGGUGGACACAGUUCAAAGUUGGAAUUGUGACUGUCAUAUAUUAACAUUUGGCCACAAUUAAGGUGGUGACUCAUUAAUAAAUGCAGUACAUAGGUAGGUGAAGACUCUCUGAUCUAGACCCUGUCAACUAGAGAGUGGGGACUCUGUAAUCUGGACCUUGCCAACUAUGCUCAGAAAGGUCUCAGAGCAGACUGUGACUUUUAUGCACACUCUACAAAGCCCUCAGGCGGUGCAGAAAGUGUUCCAACAGAGCCCAGCACACAGGUGAAAACCCCUGCCUGUGCCCUGCCCAUAUGGGCAAUUUUGACAUGUUGCUGAGUCUGAUACCUGGGUGAUGUAACUCUCUGGCCUGGUCCUGCCUACAAGGUUUUCUGUAACAUAUCUAUGCACCAGUCAACUUUGUGUUUUGAUAAUCCUCUUCUACCAAUUUCUGCUCAAAAGAAGGAUUUUGACAAAUAAUUGGGACCAGCACCUAGCUGACAUUAUUCUACUUUUCUUUCAAGGUUUGGUUUUCAGGGGAUGUUGUGACAUGUCACUAGGCUAACAGACAGGUGAUAUUCUUCUGCCUUGGCUCUUCCAAAAUAAAGCAUUUUUACACAGUG
rnacentral:lncRNA from 10 species